CCCCUCUCAGGGUCACACCUGGUGAGUUUCCAGUACUCUACCAGGCUCGGCUAGGGGAGGGAGAGUCAAGCUGAAGCAUACCCAUUCCAUUCCUAGCUUGGUCAGUGGCUAGUGAAUGGCAGGCAAUCUGCUACAAGU